UGCAAGUCGAGCGGGGGAAGGUAGCUUGCUACUGGACCUAGCGGCGGACGGGUGAGUAAUGCUUAGGAAUCUGCCUAUUAGUGGGGGACAACAUCUCGAAAGGGAUGCUAAUACCGCAUACGUCCUACGGGAGAAAGCAGGGGAUCUUCGGACCUUGCGCUAAUAGAUGAGCCUAAGUCGGAUUAGCUAGUUGGUGGGGUAAAGGCCUACCAAGGCGACGAUCUGUAGCGGGUCUGAGAGGAUGAUCCGCCACACUGGGACUGAGACACGGCCCAGACUCCUACGGGAGGCAGCAGUGGGGAAUAUUGGACAAUGGGGGGAACCCUGAUCCAGCCAUGCCGCGUGUGUGAAGAAGGCCUUAUGGUUGUAAAGCACUUUAAGCGAGGAGGAGGCUACUUUAGUUAAUACCUAGAGAUAGUGGACGUUACUCGCAGAAUAAGCACCGGCUAACUCUGUGCCAGCAGCCGCGGUAAUACAGAGGGUGCGAGCGUUAAUCGGAUUUACUGGGCGUAAAGCGUGCGUAGGCGGCUUAUUAAGUCGGAUGUGAAAUCCCCGAGCUUAACUUGGGAAUUGCAUUCGAUACUGGUGAGCUAGAGUAUGGGAGAGGAUGGUAGAAUUCCAGGUGUAGCGGUGAAAUGCGUAGAGAUCUGGAGGAAUACCGAUGGCGAAGGCAGCCAUCUGGCCUAAUACUGACGCUGAGGUACGAAAGCAUGGGGAGCAAACAGGAUUAGAUACCCUGGUAGUCCAUGCCGUAAACGAUGUCUACUAGCCGUUGGGGCCUUUGAGGCUUUAGUGGCGCAGCUAACGCGAUAAGUAGACCGCCUGGGGAGUACGGUCGCAA
rnacentral:rRNA from 1 species